rnacentral:rRNA from 1 species
CUUAAAUGAAUUGACGGGGGCCCGCACAAGCGGUGGAGCAUGUGGUUUAAUUCGAUGAUACGCGAGGAACCUUACCAGGGCUUAAAUGUAGUCUGACAGGGGUGGAAACAUCUCCUUCUUCGGACAGACUGCAAGGUGCUGCAUGGUUGUCGUCAGCUCGUGCCGUGAGGUGUCAGGUUAAGUCCUAUAACGAGCGCAACCCCUGUCGUUAGUUGCCAGCAUGUAAAGAUGGGAACUCUAACGAGACUGCCGGUGCAAACCGCGAGGAAGGUGGGGAUGACGUCAAAUCAUCACGGCCCUUACGUCCUGGGCCACACACGUGCUACAAUGGCAGGCACAAUGGGCAGCCACGCCGCAAGGCGGAGCGAAUCCACAAAACCUGUCUCAGUUCGGAUCGGGGUCUGCAACUCGACCCCGUGAAGCUGGAAUCGCUAGUAAUCGGAUAUCAGCCAUGAUCCGGUGAAUACGUUCCCGGGCCUUGUACACACCGCCCGUCAAGC